CAAGCCCUAAACUCAAUGAUAAAUCAACUUAAAUCUAGAAUUUUAUUUCCCAACAACACUUAAACCAAUUGAUCCUAAAAAGUCUCGCCUUUUCAGAUCUUUUUCUUCUAUCUCGUCUUCGGUUCAUCCGAAAAGGAAAAACCCAAAUUAGUUCUCCCCUCUCGAUUUCAAUCAUCAACUGAAAGUAGGAAAUACUUGUCUCCUCUCGUUAUUUUUGUGUAGUGACCUAAUGCAGGAUUCCAUCUCUAGAGAACCAAUUUUGAUAGGGCUUCUUUGCUCAAAUCUGUUGGUACCACUUGCAAUCCUCCUCUACUCAUUGACAAGGAAUAAUACAUCAAGCUUUUUUAAAGAUUGCUUCUGAAGGACUCAAUCACCAAGUGUUGGAGGUUUCAUGGCUGAUCUUUGAGGAAAUGAGGAUCAAUCGUACAUGAAGUUCAGACUUAAAGUUGAGGAUGUUCAAAGAAAGAAUGUUCUUACCAACUGGGGAAUGGAUUUUACAGUUGAGAUCUCUUGCAAGUAAGUGGCAGACAUUGAUUGAAGCUCAUAAUGAUGUCAAGACAACAGAAAACUUCACCUUGAGGAUAUUCUGCAUUAGAUUCACCAAGUAGCGAGACAAACAGGUCAAGAGAACCUGUUAUGCUCAAUCUAGCCAGAUUUGAGAGAUUCGUCGCAACAUGGUUGAAAUCAUGGUUACCAGGCCUCUUCAAGUGAUUUAAAGAAUUGGUGGCAGAAUUUAUCCUUGAGAUGAUUGGAAAAGGAUAUUGAGAAGGGUACAUCAAGCAUUUGCCCAUUGCAGAAUGCCUUCAUCAGGAAGGUCAUGAUCAAAAGUUUGAUAAAAUUAUGGAUGCAAGUUGUGUUAUGCGAUAAGGAAGGAGUACUUGGAGAUGUCGCAAGAGGUGACAUGACUAAAUGGCCAAAAACUUAUGUAAAUCUUGUAGGAGAGUUACCAUAUUAGAGUGACAAUAUCAGUAGAUGGAAUUCCGUUUUAAUGCUUAAUAUGCGAUUUUAGGUCACUAUAAUCUAUCUUUCGGUUUCAGAAUUCUAUGUUUUGAAUGUUAUUUUGGGUAUUAAUAUAAAGUU